GCACCUGUAGCUCAGUGGAUAGAGCAACACCCUUCUAAGGUGGAGGUCGCAGGUUCGAAUCCCGCCAGGUGCG
rnacentral:tRNA from 1 species